ACGCUAGGCAGCUCCGCAGCAGCUAGCUUACCCUGGCUACAUGACGCAACUCCAGCUAACUCCAAACUGCGGAACCGCGUCUCAAGCUCGCUAAGUCUCGCCUCCAUAGCCAUAAAUAAACUACACUUUCUGCACCUAUUCCCUUCACUAAGGGAGGCAGAGGAGUAACUAAACAUUUCGCACUCUGAACAGACAAAGACACCGGGUGAAACAGACGGUGAGGCCAUGCUAACGCUAGUGAUCGGCGAAGCCCUGUAUUUGUUUAAUAUGGGUUGUUUCUCACUGUUGAUAUCGGGUGACUAGAAUGUCUCAAGUGUUCAAAAUUUUAAGUAAAGUGAAUACAACACACCAAGUGUUCAAUAUUAAGUGAAUACAACACACCAAUUGUUCAAUAUUAAGUGAAUACGGCACCCCGUGCACAAUGCAACCAACGAACGAUAGAGGAGGCAGGAAGUGACGCAAUACUCACGCAACCAAUCAGAUGAUUCCAUCCUCCUACAUGGUCAAACCAGUGUUGGAGCAUGUUUCUGGCUGUGGCCCUCGUCCAAUGGACGUGGUCAUUGAGUGUUGAGAAGAGAUGGGAAGGUAAGAGAGGGAUGAAGAGACAGUUUUUUCCUAAUUUGUGAAUUUAAAAAUUUAAGGUUCUUUUGUUCUUUCGCAGGGAGGAGACUGGAAAAGUUAACCAGCGGCACCCAAAUCCCCACGCUGGGAAAGCGCUCAUCUGCCGUUUCGACCGCCGCUCUCAUUUGGGCAGACAAGGUUUGCCCCUGGGUAACUCUCCACCUGCAGUUGGUCAUUUGUGAAUGGGGGGAAUCUGCUCAAAUUGGAGUCCCCCAGAAUGAGCCACUUUUUAGUAACGCUCAGACCCCAAUCCUGCAUUUUGUUAUUUGUGUGGAUGUGUCUGGUGGCUCUGCGUGUCUCCGGUUCAGUACCCUCCACUGGUGAGGACAAAGGGACCAAUUUCUGCUCGCUUAGGUCAAUGAGCAGGUCCGCCUCUAUCGGAGCAUCCAAGAUGGAGUCCGUCUCCACCACGCAGCAGGGGUUUGGCUUAGGGGAGGAGGUUACCGUAGUAGGUGACCAUCCUCCUGAUUCCUCCGUUUCCGUGCCAACUGACACCUUUUGAAUGGAUCUGGGUGGAGCAGUGUCAUUGGCCGUCUGUAAAGCAGGUGGAUCUGCAGCAGGAGGAAGAGGGGAGGAGAGAGGGGGUGACGGCGGCGCAGGACCGAUUAUCCCCUCACCUCCCAUUCUGGCAAUGAUGUGUGCCUGUGCCUGCUCCAGAGUCUCCCCAUGGAGCCGUUUGCCCAGGUCCCGUUUUGCCCAAAUGGAGGCAAUCUGGAAAGGUCCCUCCCAUCCCUGGAGUGACAACUGGGUGAGCGCCCCCAGCUCCAACUCCAGUUCAUAUAUGUAAUGAUCCCGGAGGAUCAUCAUGGUGGUUGCCUCCCAGUUCCUGGCAUUCCCCUCUAAUAAAAGACUUGUUCUCUGAUUGGGAUUUGCAGGUUUUAUUGUGUUUGCCAGGUUUAUAGACAGUUUUCUGAUGGUGGGAGUGGACUAUUCAGCCAAAGCGAUUUUAAGAUGGUGGGUAAUUUUAAUUAUUUUUAACAUGGUUCGAAUUUUAAGACCAAAAUCUGGGUCAUCAGAUUUAGGCUUAUUUUUGUUCAUGGUUGUCCGAUUAUUUGUGUUUUGUCGCAUUGCAGCGUUCCCCCUGUUAUAUGAACGCGCGUUGCGAUUUUUAUAAUUGUGCGGGGCCGAGUAACGUCCCCGCGGUUCAAAAAAUUGCGGCUGAAAGCCUCGCUUUUGCAAGCGUUGUUGCGGGGCAUAGUCGUCCCGUCUGCUACUCAUCCUCGUAACCGAGGCGUAGCUGCGACGUUCCCGACUACGGUACGGCCCCCCGUCACGUCCGUUGCGGUGUUCCGCCUCCGGAGCACGGUUCCUGCCCUCAUGGCGGAGCCAGUCAUGACGGCUGGGAUUCGGAGGCUCGGGGCGGCGGUGAUGUUGAUUCCGCUUGCGCCCUCGAGACACCAGAAUCCACCCGUCAUCGUUCCUGUACUCCGCCAUGUAGAAGUUGGUAAGUAUUCUCCGGAUUUUUUUAAAUCGAAAACUAGCUAUUUUGUUGCAACGUUUCGGUCCGAAAAGAACCUUCUUCAGGCUUAGCUCGUUUUGCUGUUGCUAUUGCUAUCUGUGCUGUAUCUCCGUUUGAUUUCCUGAUGUGUCUGAUUCAGAUUUUCAAGGUAGGUACUGAGCUCCCGCCUGAAUGGGGCUUUUGUAAACUCCGGUCAGGGGGCGGAGUGUGGAGGGAGUUUUUCGAAGAUUUUCUUGCUCCAAUUUUCCAAGUAAUAGGAAAUCUCCAAUAGUCCAAAUUAUGUGUUUUCCUUUUGUUUUUUGGUUUAAAUUCUU
ensembl:lncRNA